GUAUGAUCUUAUAAUAAUGAUACAAUAUGAUAUGAUGUUAUAGAAUAUGUUGUAUGAUAUAACAAGUUGUAAUAUGGUAAAAUAGAAAUUAUGAAGUUACAGGGUAUGGUAUUGUACUGUGGAAUGACGUGAGGUGAUUUGGUGAGAUAUGUACAUAAAUUGUAUAAAAUUGUAUAUUCUUCAAAUUGUACUAUAGGCCUGUGGCCUCUUCAGUAUGUGAAAUAAAGAUUGGAC